AAAUAAAUAAAAAUAUAAUGAAAAGUAAAAAGUCCACCAAGAAGGGGUCAGGAUGUAAUUCCCAUGGUGUAGCAUCCACGGUCCCACCAAAAGGCACACGAAAACAAGUCCCACAUCUCCCGUACCGCCGCCAUGACACCGUCAGCAACAUCGCUCGAGCACCACGCCGUGGAUCCACACAGCGAGCAGAGAAGCUCCGCCACGCAGAGCGCUGGUGUGUCCCAGACCGCCUGCACAGCCACAGGAGGUACACGAGGAGAGAUCCGGGGUGAACUGGGAGAAGAGAUAUAUCUUGGGCUGGAGAUGGAGUUUGCAGGUAGAAGGAAAAGAGGAAGCCUGGCAGGCUGUCUGCUCGGGCCCGAGCUUGGCUUGGGAGGCUGCUGCUGCUUGUUUUUAGCUGAAAAAGUUCCUUAUUUUCCUGAACAUUUUGGAGCAGCCCAGCAAAAACCUUACAGCAGUAGGUAACUUAUUCAUCAGCCAUUUUAAACCUUUGUCUUCAUCAGUGCGGCACAGGUUCUGCUCCAUACUGAUCACAUAAUGAGAUUCAAAAUGCUGAUAUACAUGUUGUGGCUUGUAGAUGACAAUUUGAGGAGCAUUUGCAAUGUUCAACAUCGUGUCCAUGUCCAGAGAAGAGUAUUUUAACUCAAAGAUUUUCCGUUCAGACGAUCGUCUGAGGGCUGGCUGAGGAACUACCACUGCAGACAGAACCCGUCUGUGUUAAUGGUUGAAAUUUCGGGCAGGAGGAUCUCGCGAUGGAGCGUUUCGUCAAAGAUUUUCAAAGACUCUCCGUACAGAAGAUGGCCUGAGGGCUGGCUGAGUCACUGCCUCCUACAUAUACAGUACAGAACCUGUCUGUGUUAAUAGUUGAAAGUUCAGGGAAGAGGAUCGCCACACCCAGAAGGGCUUGUACAAGUUGUGCUGGAGUUCACCAAUCGUUGAUUCAGGAGAACGGCUGAGGGCUGGCUGUAUCAGCAAGAAGUGUAUAUAUAUAUCCCCAGAGCCACUAUUUAAUAUCUGAAAUUUCGGAGAUGAAACACGUGACCUACUUCUGUGUCACUAACACCAUGCCUAAAAGAGGAAUGUUGUUAUACACACACAUUCCUAGCUACAGCCCUGGUUGCAGGUGGAUUAAAAAAAUCUUGGACUAGGAGACUCCAUUUUUGGAAGGAUUGAAAUUUUGUUGCUUGUCGAUUUUUUGGAAUCGGGUUUGUAAUUAUGGACUUUAUAAAUUAGUGUGUGGGUGCUUUACCUGGGACGUUCCUGAGUUUAUUGUUACGAUAUAGUUAUUUUUUUUCAAACUUUCAAUAUUCAGAGUACAUUUCCCAAGACAAUCAGGGAAAAGUCUCAAAGCUUUGGGAGGCUCCGUCCACCCAUCCCUGCUAAAAGACCUAGAUUGCGACGAUUUCUGCAAUGUUUCAUGCAAAGGGUGUGGCCAUAACAGGAGCGGGGCUAUGUUAAGAUAAUUGGAGGGGGAGGGUGUUCUGUACUGAGUGCUGCCUCUGUGUCAGUAGCACUGUUUGAGCUGAACGUAGAUGAUUUGAGGAGAUGUUUUGAUGCUGUGUGUGAGUAACACUCCAAAGCUGGCUAUGAAAAUCCCACCGUGGUUACAAGAGACAUAUCGAUGUCAUAGACAACAUGGUUUAGAAAAGAUAUAGAUUCAUGAAAAAAAUAAUAACCUGCACAUAGUUUCAUGUAAAGAAUGAUUUAUUCAUAUAAUGGAGGUACACGAGGAGAGAUCCGGGGUAAAUUGGGAGAAGAGAUAUAUAUUGGGCUGGAGAUGGAGUUUGCAGGUAGAAGGAAAAGAGGAAGCCUGGCAGGCUGUCUGCUCGGGCCCGAGCUUGGCUUAGGAGGCUGCUGCUGCUUGUUUUUAGCUGAAAAAGUUCCUUAUUUUCCUGAAAAUUUUGGAGCAGCCCAGCAAAAAUCUUACAGCAGUAGGUAACUUAUUCAUCAGCCAUGUUAAACCUUUGUCUUCAUCAGUGCGGCGCAGGUUCUGCUCCAUGCUGAUCACAUAAUGAGAUUCAAAAUGCUGAUAUACAUGUUGUGGCUUGUAGAUGACAAUUUGAGGAGCAUUUGCAAUGUUCAACAUCGUGUCCAUGUCCAGAGAAGAGUGUUUUAACUCAAAGAUUCUCCGUUCAGAUGAUUGUCUGAGGGAUGGCUGAGGAACUACCACUGCAGACAGAACCCGUCUGUGUUAAUGGUUGAAAUUUCGGGCAGGAGGAUCACGCGAUGGAGCGUUUCGUCAAAGAUUUUCAAAGACUCUCCGUACAGAAGAUCGCCUGAGGGCUGGCUGAGUCACUGCCUCCUACAUAUACAGUACAGAACCUGUCUGUGUUAAUAGUUGAAAGUUCAGGGAAGAGGAUCGCCACACCCAGAAGGGCUUGUACAAGUUGUGCUGGAGUUCACCAAUCGUUGAUUCAGGAGAACGGCUGAGGGCUGGCUGUAUCAGCAAGAAGUGUAUAUAUAUAUAUAUCCCCAGAGCCACUAUUUAAUAUCUGAAAUUUCGGAGAUGAAACUCGUGACCUACUGCUGCAUCACUAACACCAUGCCUAAGAGAGGAAUGUUGUUAUACACACACAUUCCUAGCUACAGCCCUGGUUGCAGGUGGAUUAAAAAAAUCUUGGAUUAGUAGACUCCAUUUUUGGAAGGAUUGAAAUUUUGUUGCUUGUCACUGGACUUUUACUACAGUUCAUUAAAUGCUGAUUGAAAAUAAAGACAUAACAUUACAUAAGGAGAUCUACUCGGUCAACAAUCAUUGCAUGUUGCCAGCGGAUUCUGUGUGCAGCUUUCAGGAGUUUCCAGUUUUCCACCAAUGCACUUCAGCAGUCAGUGUAGCUCGUUGGCUUUGGUGUAAUAUGGCUUUGGAGCAGACCUGUGUUUGGCGGUGACCCAUGGUGAAACUCUAUCUGAUGCUUGUCAUUAUCAAGCUCCAGUGCUCUAGUGUCAGAAGGGAGAACCUUCCUGCCUUCAUUCAUGAAGCAACUCCCAGACCAAAGCCUGUUUUUGGUGUAUCUUGCUUUCAAGGCAUGCUUUCACUCUAUUCUGGCAUUAAAGAAAGAAUUGUAGACGAUUGUAAGCUACAGUGGAAAAUUUUCAAACUCCAUGUUUUUAUUUGGAUAACAAAGCAGUUUUCACACUCGAGUUUGCGACACCAUGGACAUGAAUGCUGUGAACGCACUCUCAUAUGAAGACUUUUUGGAAAUAUUUGGGAACGUGAUUGAGAAAUGUCCCAUGAUCCCAGCUGCCAUAUGGAUCCACCGUCCGUUCACAGGCCUAGCGGACAUCGAAGCUCACAUAUCCGACUUCAUCAACAGUCUACCUGAAUCAGGGGUGCUGAAGUGUUCACGCGGGGUCUCGCGGACCCGAAGUCGCGCUGUGAGACUGCAGAGGUGAAGGUGGUGCCGCGUGCGUGGUGCCACACGCGUCGCCGGAAGUGACGGAGGAGUCCUGCUCGGGAUCCGUGCCACCGCCGCCACGCGCCCUGCGCUUGUCCUCCUCCUUCUUCCACUUCAUGCGCCGGUUCUGGAACCAGAUCUUGAUGUGGCGCUCGGUGAGGCUGAGUGUGAGCGCGAGCUCGACGCGCCGCGGUCGCGAGAUGUACUUGUUAAAGAGGAACUCCUUCUCCAGCUCGAGCAGCUGUGCGCGCGUGUAGGCCGUGCGCGUGCGCUUGUUCUCCUCUGGCUCCGCCGUGUACGCACCUGCCGAGACGCACGAGACAGUCACUUUAUAGCACAGUUUUCAUAGCCAUAUAUAUGUGUGUGUGUGUGUGUGUGUGUGUGUGUGUGUGUGUGUGUGUGUGUGUGUGUGAGAGAGAGAGAGAGAGAGAGAGAGUCUUAGGCACAUGUAAAGAAAUGCUGUAGGCUUAGUUUUGGCUUAGUUUAGCUUACUUCUAACAGUACCUAGCAAAACUAGCCUGCCUUAUACAUCUAAACAGCCACCAUUUUUUAUUUUAAAGUAUCUCCUAUUUUGUAGAAUUAUUAUUUAUGUAUAAAUGGUAUUAUUUUGGCAAAUAUUGUCAUGAUGAUGGCAAUGAAAGGAGUAUUUGGUUACGUUAACUAGCUAGCUAGCGUUACUUUUCGAAAUGGUGUUCAUUUCGGUAUAGUUGGUUAAUUUACAUAAUUGUUAAAACACACACAAUCCUCAAAUAUAGAACAUGUUCAGAUUAGUUGUAUACAUUGUAAAUGUGUAAAAGAAGAAACAUUCUUUCAGUAUUUACUCUUACCUCAGUAAUUUUCUUUUGUCACUCUUUUUUUCAUAUUUUUACUCAGUAAGCCAUUUCUACAGUAGCAAAACUUUCACAAACAGCUAUUUUUAAACAUUAUACUCAGUCACUGAUUUAGCCAACACGUUUGUUGUCUGAAUUUUGCUUUUUUAGUUUAGCAUUGAAGCUACAUGGCUAAUGUAGCUGAAAGUACUGUAAACCAAGGGAGUAACUUUGAUUUUGACAUUGGUGGGGACACAAAAGCGAUCCAAGGCAGAGCUUCCGAAAGGUUUUUUUUUUUUCCAUUAGCAAUCAUAAUUUCAUGUCAUGCAGAUCUUACAGGUUAACGAGGGCAGCCGUGGCCUAAUGGUUAGGGAGUUGAUUGGUCUUUGGGUUGCAUCCCAGGGUUGCAGGUUCAAAUCCCACCCUUACCUCUCCAUCCAUGGCUGAAGUGCCCUUGAGCAAGGCACCUAACCCAAUAUUGCUAGAAUCUGAUGAUUUAUUAUUUUUACACCACACAAUUCCUAAUUUGUGUUUAAGCAGUCGUUCUGUCUCUUCCACAGAA